CUCUCCAUCUCUGCGCUGCUGCCGGCUGCGCCAUCCAGCACCCAGACUCCAGCACCGGCCAAGGACCCCUACUCCGGCUGCAGAGACCCUGUCCCAGCGAGACCGCAGGCAUGUCAUCCGAAAAGUCAGCCAUAUGCAGGCGGGACCCCGGGGGGGACAGGAGUGACCUCCACUCUCCCCCCGCCGCCCCAGGGCCCAGGGCUGGCCCUACUGGAGCCGAGGCGCCCGCCACACGACUACAUGCCCAUCGCGGUGCUGACCACCAUCUGUUGCUUCUGGCCUACUGGCAUCAUUGCUAUCUUCAAGGCCGUGCAGGUGCGCACGGCCUUGGCCCGCGGAGACAUGGUGUCGGCCGAGAUCGCUUCACGCGAGGCCCGGAACUUCUCCUUCAUCUCCCUGGCCGUGGGCAUCGCGGCCAUGGUGCUCUGUACCAUCCUCACUGUAGUCAUCAUCAUCGCCGCGCAGCACCACGAGAACUACUGGGAUCCCUAAAAACACCCCCGGUCCGGCCCCACUCUGCGCCCCUCGAUCUCCCAGGCUCUUUCUGCAGUCAUACCGCGGACCCAAUGGGCGCCCUGCACACCCGUUUCUGGGGCCGUCAGACUUGGCUACAUCGUAAACUCCGCCUCCACGGAACGUCUCGCCUUGCGAGCAAGCUCCGAAUCCAGUUCCUCAGGAACCCCUCCAAAACCCACACCCCCAGGGACGCCGCUUUCCGGGAUCCCAGCCAAACGCGGGACCCUCAGUCGCUCCAGGCCCCCUCACCCUCAAAGUGUAGCGCCCCCAACCGAGCAACCUCGGUUUGGUCCCUAAAACCCCGCCUCCUCUAUAAGCUCCGCCCCAGCUCUGACAAAACCCCGCCUCCAGGUCGGCAGGCUCCGCCUUCUUUUCUUCUCCGCGGGGUGAUUCAGUCCAGUGAUUGGGUUUGUGGCUCCAGGCUUCACCCACAGACGGACAGACCCCUCCCUUUCUUCCGGCAAAAGGACAGAGCCCUAGGGUAGUAAGGCCCCCACACUCCUGUUUUUUGCAAGUACAUUUUUGUCCCUCCUCCACCCAGGUCUCUGCCUAUUUUCUUGCUAAUCCCAGAACCUUUCCUUUUGUUUUUUUAAGGACAUUUGGGAAGUUCCUGGUGUAGGACCCUUCUCCCUGGGAUAAGAAACCUGCCUGUAAACGCUCUGUAAAUACUCCCUUCCACCCACCCCAGCCCCUGGGCAGCCGGGCAGAAGGGAAUCCAGGCUAUGGACCUCCCAAGUCCCCGCUCCCCGCUCCCCUCGGCGGCCCCGCCUUGUUCUGAUCUGUGUGUGAGUGUGUGUGAACUUCUGAAAGACAAUAUUAAAGAGACUUAGUUGAUUUA
rnacentral:sRNA from 1 species